rnacentral:rRNA from 1 species
UAACACGUAUCCAACCUGCCGUCUACUCUUGGACAGCCUUCUGAAAGGAAGAUUAAUACAAGAUGGCAUCAUGGGUUCACAUGUUCACAUGAUUAAAGGUAUUCCGGUAGACGAUGGGGAUGCGUUCCAUUAGAUAGUAGACGGGGUAACGGCCCACCUAGUCUUCGAUGGAUAGGGGUUCUGAGAGGAAGGUCCCCCACAUUGGAACUGAGACACGGUCCAAACUCCUACGGGAGGCAGCAGUGAGGAAUAUUGGUCAAUGGGCGAGAGCCUGAACCAGCCAAGUAGCGUGAAGGAUGACUGCCCUAUGGGUUGUAAACUUCUUUUAUAAAGGAAUAAAGUCGGGUAUGCAUACCCGUUUGCAUGUACUUUAUGAAUAAGGAUCGGCUAACUCCGUGCCAGCAGCCGCGGUAAUACGGAGGAUCCGAGCGUUAUCCGGAUUUAUUGGGUUUAAAGGGAGCGUAGAUGGAUGUUUAAGUCAGUUGUGAAAGUUUGCGGCUCAACCGUAAAAUUGCAGUUGAUACUGGAUAUCUUGAGUGCAGUUGAGGCAGGCGGAAUUCGUGGUGUAGCGGUGAAAUGCUUAGAUAUCACGAAGAACUCCGAUUGCGAAGGCAGCCUGCUAAGCUGCAACUGACAUUGAGGCUCGAAAGUGUGGGUAUCAAACAGGAUUAGAUACCCUGGUAGUCCACACGGUAAACGAUGAAUACUCGCUGU